GUUUCUGUAGUGUAGUGUUUAUCGCAUUUGCCUACCAUGCAAAAGGUCACCCAUUCAAAACCAGGCAGAAACA
rnacentral:tRNA from 1 species